rnacentral:rRNA from 1 species
UACGUAGGGUGCGAGCGUUGUCCGGAAUUAUCGGGCGUAAAGGGCUCGUAGGCGGUCUGUCACGCGGGAGUGAAAACUCAGGGCUUAACCCUGAGCCUGCUUCCGAUACGGGCGACUAGAGGUAUGCAGGGGAGAACGGAAUUCCUGGUGUAGCGGUGAAAUGCGCAGAUAUCAGGAGGAACACCGGUGGCGAAGGCGGGUCUCUGGGCAGUAACUGACGCUGAGGAGCGAAAGCGUGGGGAGCGAACAGG